AUACUUGGAUAACUGUGGUAAUUCUAGAGCUAAUACAUGCACCAAAGCUCCGAUUUUUGAAGAGCGCAUUUAUUAGAACAAAACCAAUCGGGCAAUUGCCCGUAAGUUGGUGACUCUGAAUAACUUCAGCUGAUCGCAUGGUCUUGCACCGGCGACGUAUCUAUCAAGUGUCUGCCUUAUCAACUUUCGAUGGUAGUUUAUAUGCCUACCAUGGUAGUAACGGGUAACGGAGAAUAAGGGUUCGACUCCGGAGAGGGAGCCUGAGAAACGGCUACCACAUCCAAGGAAGGCAGCAGGCGCGCAAAUUACCCACUCUCGGCAUGAGGAGGUAGUGACGAAAAAUAACGAGGCCGUUCUCUAUGAGGCCGGUUAUCGGAAUGGGUACAAUCUAAACCCUUUAACGAGGAUCUAUGAGAGGGCAAGUCUGGUGCCAGCAGCCGCG
rnacentral:rRNA from 1 species